GACGAACCGUGCGAGCGUUGUUCGGAAUCACUGGGCUUAAAGGGCGCGUAGGCGGUCCACCAAGUCCGGUGUGAAAUCCUCCGGCUUAACCGGAGAAUUGCCUGGGAUACUGGUGGUCUUGAGGGAGGUAGGGGCACGCGGAACUUCCGGUGGAGCGGUGAAAUGCGUUGAUAUCGGAAGGAACGCCGGUGGCGAAAGCGGCGUGCUGGCCCUCUUCUGACGCUGAGGCGCGAAAGCCAGGGGAGCGAACGGG
rnacentral:rRNA from 1 species